AGAGUUUGAUCUUGGUUCCAGGAUAAACGCUUAGCGGCAGGCUUAACACAUGCAAGUCGAGGGGCAGCAUGUCCAGCAAUGGAUGAUGGCGACCGGCGAAAGGGUGCGUAACGCGUGAGCAACAUGCCCUAUACAGGGAGAUACACCAGGGAAACUUGGUCUAAUAUCCCAUAGCAUUCAUUGAAGGCAUCUUUAAUGAAUUAAAGCUUCGGUGGUAUAGGAUUGGCUCGCGUGACAUUAGCCAGAUGGUGAGGUAACGGCCCACCAUAGCAAUGAUGUCUAGGGGUUUUGAGAGGAAGGCCCCCCACACUGGGACUGAGACACGGCCCAGACUCCUACGGGAGGCAGCAGUGAGGAAUAUUGGACAAUGGAUGGAAAUCUGAUCCAGCCAUGCCGCGUGCAGGAAGACGGCCUUAUGGGUUGUAUACUGCUUUUAUACGGGAGCAAUAAGGGUUACGAGUAAUCCGAUGAGAGUACUGUAUGAAUAAGGAUCGGCUAACUCCGUGCCAGCAGCCGCGGUAAUACGGAGGAUCCGAGCGUUAUCCGGAAUUAUUGGGUUUAAAGGGUGCGUAGGCGGCCAUUUAAGUCAGCGGUGAAAUUUUGCAGCUUAACUGUAACAGUGCCGUUGAUACUGUUUGGCUAGGAUUUGGUUGUAGUGUGCGGAAUGUGUGGUGUAGCGGUGAAAUGCUUAGAUAUCACACAGAACACCGAUUGCGAAGGCAGCACACUAAGUCAUUAUUGACGCUGAGGCACGAAAGUGUGGGGAUCAAACAGGAUUAGAUACCCUGGUAGUCCACACUGUAAACGAUGAUAACUCGCUGUCGGCGAUACACAGUCGGGGCCAAGCGAAAGC
rnacentral:rRNA from 1 species